CAGCUCAGGGACCCUGGAGCCCCGGACGCUGGAAGAGGCAGGAGGGACCCUCCCCUGGAGCCUCCGGAGGGAGCGCGGCCAAGCGACCUUUGACCUCAGACUCUGGGCUCCAGGAUGGGAGAGGAUGAAUCCGUGUAGUUCUAAGCAGCUCAGCUUGAAAUGGUUUGUUACGGCGGCCACAGGCAGUCCAUGCAUACCCCUUGCUCCCUUCCUGGGGUCCUCAGGCUGCUGACACCCUUCCUACAAGCAGCCACCGCUCCUGACUUGAGCACAGGCCUCUGCGGCCGCUCCAGCUCAGCUCUCUACACCUCCAGGGACCAGCCCAGGGGUUCCCAUCCCUGGUUCCCCGUCCUUGGACGGCGUCUCUUAGGUCUGCUUACCUCGGGGGCUCUUUGCUGUGCUCCCUUCAUCUCUUGUCCCCGCUUGGAUGAUGCCUGACACACUCACACGCUCCCUGCCACCUGGGCCGGCCCCUCCUCCUUUCCAGGGACUUUCCUCUUUAAUGCCUUUCUUCAUAUGUUCCCGGGUGUGGGGUGGUGUCGACGGGGCCGAUCGGAUGCUUUUGAUGCUUUCACAACCACCCUGAGUUUGUGACUCUACAAACAAACCAGGCCUAGCGGCGAGAAGUGAUUCGAAACAAUGUACGCCCUUCUGCUGGCUCAAGCAUUCCUGGAAAUAGGGCACAGGGGUCCCACCCUACGUGGUUUGGAGCAAGAAGAAGACCCUUUGGCGUGAAUCUGAAAGCGCUCAUUAAUCCGGCAAGCUGGAGGCUUCGGGACUGUGAACAUAGCAGACGUCGGUCGAGAAUUUCUCCCAGAGUUUCGCGUAGAGCUGGCAUUCCAUGACUAUUUCUGGGUUGGCCGAUAAAUGGUAAACCCUCUGCAAUGCUUUGCGCACGCGGGAGAGGAGGGGAAUGUGUUGACUUCAAGUCGAGCAAAUGGGUGACAUUUUCAGUUGCAUAAAUUCUGUAGUGACGGGAAUGUAGGAAUGUCGACGUUCUGGAUUGGAUGUUGUCCCGCAGCCGUCAGGGAAAUUGUUCCCAUGAGGAGAAGCCGGGCUAAAGGUCAAAGGGGCUCUGGGCUCUGAUCCUGUGUCCUGGCAACUUUCUGCGAGGCCACAAUUAUUUCAAAAUGCAACGUUCCUUUUCAAAAAUCGCAAUUUGUAAAGUCAUACUGAAAACGGUUACAUUUCAAAAAUCUGAAUUCCCUUUGGAAUCUUGAAAUGACGCAGCUGUCACCCCAAAGGGUGUCAACCUGCUCAUCUCUGAAGCGGGAGGAGCGUGGUUCUCCGUGCAGGAGGGGCAAUUUUAUCGUGUUGAGUUUGGAACUUCCUGGCCCCUUUGGAAUCAGGGUUAAUCAUCUACUAGAAUCUGUAAGGAGAAUAAAGUGAGGAACGUGUAAGCGCACACGCCAGAACUGUCGUUUAUUUGCAUCCAGAUCGAAAGAACAGGCACCUAAGAACGUCCAGGUGUCAGUAUCUGACCCCACGGGGGCAGGUGUGCCUUCAAAACCGAGUUCUCUCCAGGUCAAGUGACAAGGCGACCGUCUUGGAUUCAUUUCCUUGUUUUUUUUUUAUGAUAAGGAUGUUAAUAAUUUCCUCAAUGGAUCAAAGAGAGACAGAGGAUGGAAAAUGCGUCCUAAAUGUUGUCCUUGUGUACCAUCCACAUUGAAAGAGCUGAUGCAAGAGAAGAAGAGGCAUGGGGGGCUUAGGGUCCAAGCAACUGUUGACUGGAUCGUCUUGGAUUUUUUUUUUCUGCAUGGAUACGGCCAACACAGGCCAACCAGGGGGAUAUUCCUCGAAUCUGGGAAGAUCCUAUAAAGCACAGCCCAGCCCAUUUGACGUUGGCCUCCAGGAGAUGAUUAAAUACGGCAAUAAGAGCCAGAAAGAUGGUUCACAAUGAUGAACUCAACAUAUCACAUACCUCCCUUUCCUCCUUGAGGACAACUGUAUUUUGAGUCCCCCAACGUGCCCAGAAGAGCACUGCUAUCUUGGUAAAUGCUCAGCAAGGUCAACCUUGGAAGGGAGAGGAACGACGUCUGAGCACCUCAUUGCGUCUGCAGCCGCUAGCUUUUGCGGCGGGCCCCACCGUUUCCCAAACUUGCCGUCUUAAGACGAUCCCCAAUUGCACUCACGGUGCCGUGUCUUGACUGUUUGGGUUGAGGUCAGCUGGGUUGCUCCUCUGGUGUCGGCUGGACUCACUCCUGAGUCAGUCGUGAGCUGCUGGGUGGAUGGGGCGGAGGAGCGGGUUUGGUGGUUCCGCUGGGACCGCUUGUCUCGGCUCCACGCGUCCCUUCGGGUUUCAGUAGCGCGGCUCGGCCUCGUGCGUGGAGUGGCCAAGCAGGUUUCCAAGACCGGGAGGCUCAGAAAGGUUGCUGUUCCGAUGCGUUCCAUUGGCCAAAGCACGCAAGAACCCUGGUGCAGAGACAAUGGGCGGACGCGGAGUCCGCCGGUCAACGGGAGAAGCCGCAAAGCCACUCUGCAAAAAAAAUGCUGAUACACGGUGGGAAUUAAUCGUGCUCGCUUGGGCAAAUGAUCCUCAUAACCUCCAACCAAGAUCCAAAUGCACCCGGAGCCCGAGAAGGCCAGACCUGGACCGAGAAGGAGCCGCCAGGCAGCUCACUCACGGUGCGUGUUGAAUAUCUGCACGUCCGGAGGAUAAUCUGGAUUUGCAAAAAGAAUUGCACUUUGCAUUUCUUAGUUCUCCGUUCACUUCUGAAAGGCCUCGAACCUCUCAGUGUGGGGAGCAGACCUGUGCGGUGGCGUAACCUUUAUCUAGGGUGAGCUACUGGCCUAAUACCCACAAAUGUGUCCGCCAGAGGGACAACGAUGGAGCUCAUGCAUGAAUCACCGUGUUCUGGUCCGCCAUGUGUGUGUCCCCUCAGAAUCCAUAUGUUGAGUCCUAACCCCCAGGGUGACGUGAUUAGGGUCUGGGGUCUUUAGGAGGUGAUUAGGUCGUGAGCGGGGAGCCCCCACCCAUGGGAUUAGCGUCCUUACAAAAGAGACUCCAUUCCACCCUGUGAGGACACGGCAGCAAGAGGGCCGUGGAUGAACCAGAAAGCGGGCUCUCCCCAGACAGCGAGUCGAUCUCGAACUUCCAGCCUCCCCAGAACCGAGAGAAAGAAAUGCCUGCUGUUCCUAAGCCAUGCAGUCCACGGUAUUCUCUUACAGCGGCCCCGGGUAAGACGCCGCCCACGUUGACGCUUUGCCGUCAUGAAUUUGGUCUUGUUUGAAGUUGAUCUUGUGGGAUCCAGGAGACCUGGGUGAGAAGCUGUGCAGGGACAGGUCUUAGAGCCCUCGGUUCCGGCCCAGUGGCCAUGACCACAGAGGGUAGAGUGUGGUCUUGGUACUCGGACCUCAGAGGGGGACCGUUGUGAUGAGAGAGGGUUGUGUUUCCUGCGGACUCAUGGCAAACCCUUUCUGCUCACAGGGCGCGUCACGGGAAACCGUCCGCCCUGGGAAAGGAUUUACGGCCAUCCUGCGGUCUAGAAGGAUCUUCCAGCCAACCACCAUUGUCCCGGCUCUAACCAGCCAGCAUCCCAACCAGGACCUGCGUCAAGCCCGGGUCGACAGCGGCUCUACUUUGUAAGCCACGCAAUGGCCGUCCCCACCUGGUCCCGGCUACCUUCCCACCCUCACCUCCCAAACUCUUCUCUACUCGUGCAGGUCAAGGAUUUUUUUCCCCCAAUGUUGGCGUCUUUGAUCACGCAGGCGUGCCAUCUGGAAUGGAUCCCUCCCCGUUCUCUGCCUGGAAAGUCCUAAGUGUUCCCCAAGAGCUGGCUUCCACGUUACCUCAUUGGUUCAGAAACGUUUCUGAGCUCCCUGACACAGGGAUUCCCCCUAUAGCACUCGGUGCUCACCAUUUGUAGGGCGCAUGAUACUGUGUGGGAUAGAUCAGCUUUUUAAUAUUCCUUCGUAGACCGAACGGCUACUUGAUAACAGAAACAAUGGCUUAUUCACCUUUGCAUGCUCGGUACCUAGAAUAAGAUCUUCCACACCCCAUAGGCUACCUAAGAGCCUGCCGGAUAAAUGAACAUGAUUUUCACGUGGCAUCGCAUGAGGAUGCUAGAACACGCUCAAGGCAGCUCUGCAGCUAUGGGGCACGUGUUGUUGGUGGAACAGGUUAGACUUUCGGAAUGACCACAGCGAUAUUUGGGUCUGCGUGCCCUUCCAUCCUUGCCAUUCCCCAUCAGGACAGGAAGUCUUACUUCCCACUUCUCGAAAUGGGACGGGUGUUUGUGGAUGCUUUCGAUGAAGAGAGACCGCGUAAGUGAUGCCACGUGACUGGGGACACGAGAUUAUAGGUGAUGCAGAUUUCACUGGGUUUUCUCUCUCUCCUUCCAGAAGCUCACCUUUGGAAACCAGCCACCAUGCUGCCACGUGGAGAGGCCACGUGUAGAUGUCUGUGUGACGGCCUCAUGAAAGGUCUCACAGGGCUGAUUUCGUGGGCUCACAAUCUGUACAGUCGGACUUGUGCUCAGAAAGGGGGCCCCAUUCUUGGUUUAUUGCCCCACUGCCGCCAUCUUGAAAUUCCUUUUUUUUUUAAAAAAAAUUUUUAUGGGGGUCACGUUGGCUUUUAAUGUUGCGUAUAUUUCAGGUGUCCGUUAUUAUAUUUCAGUUUCUGUAGAGACUGGAUCGUGUUCACCACCAAUAGUCUAGUUUUUACCGUCACCAUACCUACGUGCCCCUUGGAAUUCUGAAUAAAGUUUGGACAAGCGGUCCCAGUCCAAGUUGGAGAUUUGUGAAGAAAAUACGACAUCCCAGGACGGCUCCCUCUGGCUCAUCGUGAUGACCAUCACGGCCAACACUUGUCAUGGGCACGACUCCACCCCGGAUCCUGGACACACCGUUCGGACACACAGGGUUGUUGAUCUGCUUAAGCAGACUUAGAGACCCACAGGAUUUGUGUUUUCAAGGCAGGACUCUGGGAAGUCGAUUCUUGAUUCUGAGCCAGACUCACCGCGAGCUUGAGCUCCGUCAACAAAGUUGUCGUUUGUAUAUAAUGUAACUCCCCUAUGUCUCUUGAUUUCUGCAGGAGACCCAUCCUAUAUUACGUUUAAGAGGGGAAAAAAAAAUACACACACGUAAGGCUCACA